UACGGAGGAUGCGAGCGUUAUCCGGAUUUAUUGGGUUUAAAGGGUGCGCAGGCGGCGUGUCAAGUCAGCGGUAAAAUGUUGGGGCUCAACCCCGGCCGGCCGUUGAAACUGGCGUGCUCGAGUUGGAGAGAAGUAUGCGGAAUUCGUGGUGUAGCGGUGAAAUGCAUAGAUAUCACGAAGAACCCCGAUUGCGAAGGCAGCAUACCGGCUCCACACUGACGCUGAGGCACGAAAGCGUGGGUAUCGAACAGG
rnacentral:rRNA from 1 species